AAAUCAAGGGCUUAUCACAUUCAAACAUACGGUGUGGAUGGCAGCCCGUUGCGAUGGCUGCACAGCCAUGGCAAAAUCUCCGUCCCUCCUUCGAAAGAGUUUAUAUUUUAUUCUCCUCAUUCAAAACGUUGAAGUCGGAAGAGCUGUUCUCUAUAAAUCAUAUAAAUUAUUUUGUCCUUUUGAGCUUGUCAUCUUCCAAUCCCUUCUUCUUCUCUCGACUCCUUUUCCUCCCUCCCCUUCCAGUCCUUCAUCUAUUGCCCCGGAUCCACCGAAAGCUGCCUCAUUUCCAUACUCUUUUAUCAAAUUCCUCUGAGUAGUUGAAAAAUUAUUGUUGUUGGUGGCAUGCAGAUGGAGAUUUCUCGGGAAUUUUGAUCGUGCAGUUGUUCAAAUAGGCUUUCUCGGAGAAUGGCCUCCUUCCAGUCAUGGAAGUGCUCGUGGUCUUUGAUAGCGGCCGUGGCUUCUCUGGUGCUAUUGGUGUCACUGGUGCACAUGUUCUUGACGCCUUUGUUUCCUUCUUCGCUUGAUUACUUCGGUGCUCGACAGAAUUCCUGUUUGCCAGUUAACGUGUCGGUCGACGGGAGCAGUGAGCAUCUGGCCGAUAAUUCACAGUUGAAUCCUGUUUUUGAUCCUCAGCUUGUUGCUGACUCUCAUGGAGCAGUUACAUACCGGGGCGCACCAUGGAAGCCUGAGAUUGGAAGGUGGCUUUCUAGUUGUGAUUCAAUUUCUACAGCAAUUGAUGUCGUUGAGAGCAUAGGAAGCAAGAGUUGCGAGAACGACUGUAGUGGUCAAGGAAUAUGUAAUCGACAACUGGGACAAUGCAGGUGCUUUCAUGGAUUUGAUGGGGAAGGAUGUACCAAGAAGUUGCAGCUGGGCUGCAAUCAUCCAGAAACUCUAGAAAAACCAUUUGGAUGGUGGAUUGUUUCAAUAUGUCCAGCCUAUUGCGACACAACUAGAGCAAUGUGCUUUUGUGGAGCAGGAACAAAGUAUCCAAAUCGUCCUGUGGCAGAGUCAUGCGGCUUUAAAAUAAACUUACCAUCUGAACCUGGCGGGCCUAAGAUCACUGAUUGGACAAAGGCUGAUUUUGAGAAUAUAUUUACAACUAACAGUAGCAGACGAGGAUGGUGUAAUGUAGACCCAAAGGAUGCAUAUGCUUCCAAAGUGAACUUUAAAGAGGAAUGUGACUGUAAAUAUGAUGGUCUUGGGGGACGAUUCUGUGAGAUACCAACAGUUUGCAGUUGUCUCAACCAGUGCUCUGGGCAUGGACAUUGCCAUGGUGGAUUUUGUCAGUGUGACAAUGGCUAUUAUGGGAUAGAUUGCAGUAUCCCAUCUGCCUUAUCACCUAUGCAAGAGUGGCCUGCAUGGCUUCGACCAUCUAAAGUUGAUGUACCUGACAAGGCCCCAAUAGGUACCAACCUUAUAAAUGUUAGCGCUGUUGUUAAAAAAAAAAGACCACUUAUAUAUGUUUAUGAUCUGCCACCAGAGUUCAACAGUCACCUUCUGGAGGGACGGCAUUGGAAGUUUGAAUGUGUGAACAGAAUAUACACUGAUGAGAACCGAACACUGUGGACUGAGCAAUUGUAUGGCUCGCAGAUGGCACUUUAUGAGAGCAUACUGGCUAGUCCAUACCGAACAAUGAAUGGUGAAGAAGCAGACUAUUUCUAUGUUCCGGUUCUUGAUUCCUGUUUAAUAACUCGAGCGGAUGAUGCACCACAUUUGGGCAUACAGAAACAUUCACGUCUGAGGAGUUCUGUAACUUUGGAUUUCUACAAGAAGGCUUAUGAUCAUAUAGUUGACCAGUAUCUGUAUUGGAACCGCUCCUCUGGAAGGGACCAUAUAUGGUUCUUUUCAUGGGAUGAAGGUGCUUGCUGUGCUCCGAAAGAAAUUUGGAAUAGCAUGAUGUUAGUACACUGGGGGAACACAAAUUCCAAACAUAAUCACUCAACAACAGCUUAUUGGGCUGACAACUGGGACCCUAUCCCUUCCCAUAGAAGAGGUGACCAUCCCUGCUUUGACCCAGAGAAGGAUCUUGUGCUUCCAGCAUGGAAAAGGCCUGAGCCAGGUGCAAUAUGGUUAAAACUGUGGGCCAGGCCACGAAAGGAGCGUAAAACACUCUUCUAUUUCAAUGGAAAUUUAGGAUCUGCCUAUGAACAUGGACGACCUGAAAAUACGUAUAGUAUGGGUAUCAGGCAAAAACUGGCAGAAGAAUUUGGUUCUACACCUAACAAGGAGGGCAAGUUAGGGAGACAGCAUGCAGCCAAUGUAACAGUAAGUCCAUUACGCUCACCUAAGUAUCUUGAGGAAUUGGCAAGCUCUUUGUUUUGUGGGGUGCUGCCUGGGGAUGGUUGGAGUGGACGCAUGGAAGACAGCAUUCAGCAAGGGUGCAUUCCAGUGAUAAUCCAGGAUGGAAUCUUUCUUCCAUAUGAAAAUGUUCUCAACUAUAAAAGCUUUGCAGUGCGAAUUCAAGAGGAUGAUAUUCCAAACUUGAUAAAAAUUCUUCAGGGGAUUAAUGAAACAGAAAUAGAGUUUAUGUUGGCAAAUGUACGCCAGAUCUGGCAGAGGUUCUUAUAUCGUGAUUCUGUUUUGCUUGAGGCUCAGAGACAGAAGAAAUUGUUCCCUGAGGAGGAUGGUUGGGCAGUUGAGUUCUCAAAACUCAGAGAAGAUGAUGUCUUUUCCACAUUCAUACAGGUAUUGCACUAUAAAUUGCAUAACGAUCCCUGGAGGCAACAUCUCUCUCAGCCAAAAGAGUCUGGGUUGCCAAAGGUUUGCUUGAGAACACACUAGGUGCUUUAAAGAACCGAUGCUCAUAGCAAAAAAGCCUUAUGUUUGUUGUCCCAACCAAAAGGCAGGGAGGUGAAGUUAAAAUUAUUCUUUUCAUAUCACCAUUGGGAUGCUGAACAAUGCUGACUUGGAAUAUCUCACUCUUAGAUGCAAGUUUUUGACUAGUAUCAAUGACCAAUUUGCUAAUGGCUGAAGUUAACAAUCAGCAUUGGUUUUUGUGUCCAUAAAAAUGCUCAAUGGAAUAAAAGAUAUAGAAAGAUGCGGAACAGAAUAAAAUUCUCUCAUGUUGGAGUGAACAGAAUGACAUGUUUUUGAUGAUGACCUUCUGUCAGAAAUCUUGAUGGGACGUCUGGAUCUCAUGUGCUGGAAAAUAUACAAGCUGAGUAACGUGCACACUGACAUACACACUUUGAUGGAAAAUAUAGCAGAUGAGACCCCUGAGAUAACCUCUCCAAUAAGUUCUCUCUUACAUGCCCAUGAUAUCCUGGAUAUCUUUUUAGUCAGUCAGGUGGUGUCCAAGGCUCCUAGCAGUGGGUGACUUUGCUACAUGGUUGGCUGCCUUACCAUAUAAAAAAAUUGCACCUUUUAGGGAUUCCAAAAUUAUUGCUCGGCAACCCGGACAGCCUGCAGGUACGCUUAUAAAAAAUAGAUUGAUAGAUGGCUUGUGAACUCGCGAGAUUUCAGGCCCCACUCAGAAAGUGGAAAUGAAUGCCUAUCAGUCCAUUUGGCCCUAAUAAAAGGUAACAAAUUUAUAAGUUUCUAGUUUGCUGCUAUGUACCUAUGAUGUCAAAUUACACAACCAUGGAUGAGAUAACUACUUGAAAAGCAUAUUUCCGAAUCUUUCAUAUUUUAUCUUAGUUUCUUUUAAUAAAGUUUGAUGAUCUCACUUAGAAAAGCUAGUUCAAAAAUAUUAUUUGAAUUUCUUAUUUUUGUAUGGAUGCUUAAGAUCUUUCUGAUGUAUGAUCGAUAUAGGACUAGAUUAAAUACGUAACUUGCAUGGAUCCUUACACAUAUUUGCCUUUCAAGCUUUGGCAUUCU